AGGGAAUCUUCCGCAAUGGGCGAAAGCCUGAUGCAGCAACGCCGCGUGAGUGAAGAAGGUUUUCGGAUUGUAAAGCUCUGUCAUCUGGGACGAUAAUGACGGUACCAGAUGAGGAAGCCACGGCUAACUACGUGCCAGCAGCCGCGGUAAUACGUAGGUGGCAAGCGUUGUCCGGAAUUACUGGGCGUAAAGGGUGCGCAGGCGGACAUUUAAGUGAGAUGUGAAAGACCCGGGCUUAACUUGAGCAGUGCAUUUCAAACUGGAUGUCUGGAGUGCAGGAGAGGAGAACGGAAUUCCUAGUGUAGCGGUGAAAUGCGUAGAGAUUAGGAAGAACACCAGUGGCGAAGGCGGUUCUCUGGACUGUAACUGACGCUGAGGCACGAAAGCGUGGGUAGCAAAC
rnacentral:rRNA from 1 species